CCUACGGGUGGCAGCAGUGGGGAAUAUUGGGCAAUGGAGGAAACUCUGACCCAGCAACGCCGCGUGAAGGAUGAAGGUUUUCGGAUUGUAAACUUCUGUCGCGAGGGAUGAAGAAUGACGUUAGCUUGUAAGACUGCAACGGCAAACUACGUGCCAGCAGCCGCGGUAAUACGCAGGGGGCGAGCGUUGUCCGGAAUGACUGGGCGUAAAGGGAGUGUAGGCGGCAUAUUAAGUUAGGUGUGAAAGCCCGCGGCUCAACCGCGGAAUUGCACAUAAAACUGGUAAGCUGGAGUGCAGGAGCGGUAAGUGGAAUGCCCGGUGUAGCGGUGGAAUGCGUAGAGAUC
rnacentral:rRNA from 1 species